UACGGGGGGGGCAAGCGUUGUUCGGAAUUACUGGGCGUAAAGGGUUUGUAGGUGGCUUGCUAAGUCAGACGUGAAAUCCCUCAGCUUAACUGGGGAACUGCGUCUGAUGCUGGCGAGCUUGAGUGCAGGAGAGGAACGCGGAAUUCCAGGUGUAGCGGUGAAAUGCGUAGAUAUCUGGAGGAACACCGGUGGCGAAGGCGGCAUCCUGGACCAACACUGACGCUGAGUGAGCGAAAGCCAGGGGAGCAAACGGG
rnacentral:rRNA from 1 species